GAGCUGUAGGAACCUGGAUGACAGCGGGCUGAGCCACCUGUGAAGCGGCGAGCGCGCUGUGGGGCCUGUGUUCUUUUUUAAAAGAACGCCCGCCCCUCCCAAAUUUAAACGUAGAUGGAUUUUAAAAUUGAACACACUUGGGAUAGUUUUCCAGUGAAGCAUGAGCCAGUGUUUGUCAGGCUGAAUCCAGGUGACAGAGGAGUGAUGAUGGAAGUUAGUGCUCCAUUUUUCAAUGAUCCUCCAGCCCCGCUAGGAGAACCGGGAAAACCUUUCAAUGAACUGUGGGAUUAUGAAGUUGUGGAAGCAUUUUUCUUGAAUGACAUGACUGAACAGUAUUUAGAAGUUGAACUUUGUCCCCAUGGACAGCAUUUGGUGCUUUUACUCUCUGGAAGAAGAAAUGUGUGGAAACAAGAACUUGAUCUAUCAUUCAAAGUGUACAGAGGAGAGACAAAAUGGGAAGGCAGAGCUUAUCUUCCUUGGAGUUAUUUUCCACCAAAUGUGACAAAAUUCAAUUCAUUUGCAAUUCAUGGAUCAAAAGAUAAAAGAAGCUAUGAGGCUCUUUACCCAGUACCUCAACAUGAAAUACAGCAAGGACAAAAACCUGAUUUCCAUCGUCUGGAAUACUUCAAGCCUUUCAGUUUUAAUGUACUGCUUGGAGAAGAGUGGAAACAACCAGAAUCGGACCUGUGGCUAACAGAGAAACCUGAUGUAUAGCAGUGUAGUAGAUGACCAUAUCAAUCCUUUCUUCUCUAUACCUUUUAAGGACUGAAAUUUUCAAAAGUAACCAAGAAAGAAAACAAUUGCCAGCUGGAAGAGGAUAGUUGGAAUAUAGAAUUACCACAACAUGGGACAGUGUCCAGUGCUACAAAGGCCUAUGACUCUCAGGUUUAAAUCUGGGGUCCAAGGCUUACUGAUGGAAGUGAAUGCUCCUUUCUUUGAUGAUCCUCUAGCAUCACCAGGCGAAGCAGACAGGGUUUUUAUGGACUCUGGGAAUAUGAAGUUUUUGAAUCAUUGUUUUUGAACAGCAAGACUAAACAGUAUCUGGAGGUGGAACUCUGCCUGCACAGACAGCACCUGGUCCUUCUGCUCUCCAGUGGUGAUGCAUUUGCAGUGAGUACUGUAGAUCUUUACUCAAACAGAUUUUUGUUUUACAAUGACUAUAUUUUAAAAUGGAGGUUUAAAUGAUUUUGGAGAUUUAACUAUUUAUAUACUUGAGGUUUAACCUUCAUUUUCUCCUCAAAGUUAGGGAAAGAGGAAGCAAAAUAAAAGAGUUCAAGAGCUUGAGCAGGACUGAAGUACAUAAGGCUAAUACGUGUAUGUGUGUUUAUAUAUAUAUAUAUGUAUAUGUACCAGUGGUGUGGCUGGUUUAUGGGUAGGUUGUUAAUAUGUCUCACUGUUUUAUAUGUGCUCUUGCACAUUGGAUUUAAUAAUGUUAACUUCUCUUCUGGGAUUAAAGUUUCUACUUAGUCCUCUAAAUAGCAGCAGAGAAUAGUAUGUAUUUAGAAAUUAUUACAUAAACUGAGGACACUUUCAACAAUGAAGAAAGAAAUUUUUUUAAGUGAAAAAAUAUUUCAAAAUAACUGAAAAGUACAGAAAAUAAUGGCACCAUCACUUAGAUUUAACAUUCCCCACCUAGGUUUGACAGAUAUUAAAAAAUAAAUCCUUAUAGGUACAACCAAUACCCAUCUCUUAUUCCUUACCCUUCCUUUUCUCCUUUCCUAUUCCCACCUCUUCCAGUGUGUAUCCACAAAAACUAUUUUUAAAAUAUUAAAAAAAUUUAUGACAUGAUAUAUUCUUAAUAAAUUGAGAAGAGCCAUUAAGUAAGAUAUUUUGUAAAUGGAAUCUAGGGCAAAUAUGUAAAUAUUUAAAUAUGGAAAUAUGGAAAAAGUCAAAUAUUUUGCAAAUUCACAUAUUUUGCAAUGGUUCACACAUUUUAUUCUAGUACAUAAAAUAGAUAUGUUUCUCAUUUGGUUGACAACCAGGUUGUUUCAAUAGCUUUGUUUUAGAAAGCAAUUUUAUUAUUUAAAAAAUUAUUUGUAAAGUGCACAUGGUUUAAAAAUCUCCUGAAAAGCUUGUAGGACUAAAAACAAUAUUCUUUUGGCCCAUAUUCCUCAUUCCAGUCUUGUUCCAUGGACAACUGCUUUCAUAAGUUUUAGCUGACUUUUCUAGUUUUCAUAUUUAAAGUACUAGUUGUGUGUUUUGGUUAAUUCUUUUUUUAUCAUUAAGAAAAGACACAAUAGAUGAUGUAUCUUUUUUCUCUAAUGGAGAUACAUUCAGACCUAAUUUUUUGUUGUCAAGGAUAUCUCAAAGAGUUGUGGUAAGAAGGCCAUGAUUAGAAGUUUGAAGUGUAUGUUGGCCAGUUAUCCUUUAUGUAGUCUGUGACUAUAGAUUACAAUCCUAACUUUUGUCAGUUUUUCACAUGUGUGUUCUAUUGGUUUUACACUCUUCAGAAAAUAGGGAAGCAGGGGAAAAAAUCAGAAGCCUAUUUUAAUAUUCCUGACAGUGGUAGAAAUAUAGGACUUAGGAGGCUGAAGUAAUGACCUGUGAAAAGUGUAACGCACUAUUGAGGAAUUCUUUUCCAACCUAGAAACAAAUUCUUAGCAAAGGACCGCAGGGCUUUAAGAAAGAGUGGUCUUAUCACUGGAGUUUGCAAAGGGUUGCAUGCUCUAUUAGGAAGACUUGUUUUACUUUGUUAUUUAAGUCUUGGAGCAAGGGUGAAUAACAAAAGGUGAUUCAAGGUCUACUGGCUAUUUUGUUUAAGAAGCCAUAGGAGAUUUUUUGAAUUGGAGGAUAUUUGCAUUAUUGAUCUUACAUUGAAAAAUAUUGCCAAGUCUGUUAUAUAAAUGUGGUAGUGAGUAGAAUAAUUUUUAAUGACUAAGGGUUGGCAAUAAAAAAAAUGUAGGAAGGAAGAUAAUCUUUUUUAAUGAUAAAAUACUAAUUUAAAUAUUAUCUGUUAUUUGUUUGCCUCAGAACCAUGCCAGAUAUAGCCCUAUUUUUUAAAAAGUAUUUUAUUGUACUAAGAACAAAAAGCUCAGAGUUCCCUUCAUGGCUCAGUGGUUAACAGAUCUGACUAGGAACCAUGAGGUUGCAGGUUCAAUCCCUGGCCUCGCUCAGUGGGUUAAGGAUCUGGUGUUGCCGUGAGCUGUGGUGUAGGUCACAGAUGUGGCUCAGAUGUGGCUCUGGCAUAAGCCAGUGGCUACAGCUCUGACUGUACCUCUAGCCUGGGAACCUCCAUGUGCCUCAGGAGCAGCCCUAGAAAAGGCAAAAAG